AAAAUAUUAACGCCGUUAAUUAAGCGUUGCGUUAAUUAAGCGUUGUGUUAAUGCGCGAUUAACGCAUUAACAUGCCCAGCACUAUAUGCAAAUUGUUGCUUUUGCUUCA